rnacentral:rRNA from 1 species
AGAGUUUGAUCMUGGCUCAGGAUGAACGCUAGCGGCAGGCCUAACACAUGCAAGUCGAGGGGUAACAGGUAGAAAGCUUGCUUUCUAUGCUGACGACCGGCGCACGGGUGAGUAACGCGUAUGCAACCUACCUUUAACAGGAGGAUAGCCCCGAGAAAUCGGGAUUAAUACUCCAUAACAUUUUAAUAUCGCAUGGUAUAAAAAUUAAAGUUUCGGCGGUUAAAGAUGGGCAUGCGUGACAUUAGUUAGUUGGUGAGGUAACGGCUCACCAAGGCAUCGAUGUCUAGGGGUUCUGAGAGGAUUGUCCCCCACACUGGUACUGAGACACGGACCAGACUCCUACGGGAGGCAGCAGUGAGGAAUAUUGGUCAAUGGUCGAAAGACUGAACCAGCCAUGCCGCGUGCAGGAAGAAUGCGCUAUGCGUUGUAAACUGCUUUUCUACAGGAAGAAACCUAUUUACGUGUAAGUAGCUGCCGGUACUGUAGGAAUAAGCACCGGCUAACUCCGUGCCAGCAGCCGCGGUAAUA